rnacentral:lncRNA from 1 species
UCUCGACUUGUACAGUCACAGUGUCUGGCAAAUAUACAACCUUAAUCCUCUUCACAUGAAAAGUUAAAAAUAUGUUGUUCAUAACAAUUUAACUAAUAAAAUAACUUAUAAGAAUGUGUUUGAUUUCUCCAACUAUUACAUAUGCAAUAAGUAAAGCUGAUUUCUGUAUUUUAAAUACAGUGUUGAGCAUAAUUCCAUAUAACCGUGCAUUCAAAUCUUCUUCGACGACUGUUGCGGCAAUAGAUAUACAUAUGUUGGCUGAUGUGUUUGCAAUAUCGAUAAACUCGUUAUCUUCAUUACAGACCUACAAAUAUAAAAAAUACAAAUGACGUUUAGUUUUUAGCAUCCAAAUUACAUAAGGUAUUUAAAUAAUCUCUUCAUCUUAGUUCCAUAUAAGUGUGUAUUCAAAUCUUCAUGGAUCACUGUUGCGGCAAUAGAUAUACCUAUGUUGGCUGAUGAGUUUGCAAUAUCGAUCAACAAAUUAUCUUCAUUAGCGACCUACAAAUUUAAAAUAAUACAAAUGAGGUUUACUUCGAUCAUGAAAUUGACAGACGGUUCUGUCCAACAUGAUUGUUGCCUCUGACUGACAUUGGGUCAACUAACUGCUGCUGCAUACCUGUUGGAACUAUGACUGUAUUGUUUUUGUCAUGAAGUUUGUUUACUGCUGCAACAAAUUUUUGGUCAGUACGUGCUGCUCAUGCUUCUGUAUUAUCACAUGAAUCAAUAGAACUGAGGCACCUAAAUUGGCCUUCACAGUUUCAGCUUCUGUCUGCAACAUCACAGUUUGUCCCUCUGCAAGCUCCACCAAUAUUCCUGUU